UGGCUUUAUAUUUAUAAAGGGGUUGAGGAAGCCGUUCCAGAGUUUGUUAGGCCCUUAGAGGAGUUUGUUAGACGGUUAGAAAGCCACCUAUAAGUAAGCUGGUGUAUAGCUAUGCAUAUGAGCUAGAUAUGAGAUCAUGGCCAGUUGUACCUUAGUUGAAAAAAUCAUCGCAGAUGUUUGUAGAAUGAUUAAGUCUGUCAUUACAAUAGUUCAUCUCGAUAGAUGAUCGAAGUGACAUAAAGCUAUCAUAACAUUCAUCUUGGAUAGUGAGGUAUCAGGAUU
rnacentral:lncRNA from 1 species